UUCUUCAACUGCAACCCAGCAGCCUGCUUAGCUCCAGAGAAAUGCGAUUCUUCCACAUCUCUGCUGUGCAGCCAUGUCCACCACAGCAGACUUCGUGGCUGAGAGAGAACUGGGAAACUGACAGCUCAAGCGUGAUCGUGACAGGUUGGCGUAAGAUGCUGCAUGGAGCACCUCACAGCUGAGAGAAGGAAAUACUCCAGAGGAGAUGAGAAUCCUAUCCUGCAGAGCUCAAGAGCUGGGAAGCUUGUUGUUGCCGAGUGCAGGAUUUAAAAGCACACCAGUGAAACCUAUUGCUGUCCUUGGUGCUGAAAUUGACACCUUUAUUUUGAUUUGCUCUGUGAUUGACCAGUCUGUUUCUUUGCAGAAAUUAUGCUCCCACACCAAAGACAGAAGAUGCUCUUGGAAGAGCUGGGUCUUCAAGAGCUUCUUGAAGAUAGACAGGGACAGCACUAGGCAGGUCAUUCCAUGUGCUGGUGCCACACUUGAACCCGAACACGAAGCACACGCACUGUAAAUUAAGACAGUGAACCGCGCUCGUUGUCUUUGGCUUAGUGCUGUUUUUUCCCUCUGACCUCUCAACUCUUGUUGUGAAAUAUUUGCAUGAUGUACAGUCCUGGUAUUUUGUUUAAAGUAUUUAAAAUAAAAUACUUGUUAAUUUUAGUAUUAAAGGCAAAGCUUGAGUUAAAUAUAGCAGUAGUUUGCUGUGUGAACAAUAAAGUGACUGAGACAUAGACUCUAGCACAGCACAAAGUUUUGAAUCGAAACAAGAGUAAAGAGUUUUUAGUAAACAAGAAGAAAAAGAAGAUGAACUUCA